rnacentral:rRNA from 1 species
GUGGGGAAUAUUGGGCAAUGGGCGCAAGCCUGACCCAGCAACGCCGCGUGAGGGAAGAAGGUCUUCGGAUUGUAAACCUCUGUCCUUGGGGACGAAAAAAAUGACGGUACCCAAGGAGGAAGCUCCGGCUAACUACGUGCCAGCAGCCGCGGUAAUACGUAGGGAGCGAGCGUUGUCCGGAAUUACUGGGCGUAAAGGGUGCGUAGGCGGCUAGGCAAGUCAGAUGUGAAAUCCCCGGGCUUAACUCGGGUGGUGCAUUUGAAACUGCUUGGCUUGAGUGCAGGAGAGGAAAGCGGAAUUCCUAGUGUAGCGGUGAAAUGCGUAGAUAUUAGGAGGAACACCAGUGGCGAAGGCGGCUUUCUGGACUGUAACUGACGCUGAGGCACGAAAGCGUGGGGAGCAAACAGGAUUAGAAACCCGUGUAGUCC